rnacentral:rRNA from 1 species
GAAACCGGAGCUAAUACCGGAUAAUAUUUUGAACCGCAUGGUUCAAAAGUGAAAGACGGUCUUGCUGUCACUUAUAGAUGGAUCCGCGCUGCAUUAGCUAGUUGGUAAGGUAACGGCUUACCAAGGCAACGAUGCAUAGCCGACCUGAGAGGGUGAUGGCCACACUGGAACUGAGACACGGUCCAG